UACGUAGGGGGCAAGCGUUGUCCGGAUUUAUUGGGCGUAAAGCGCGCGUAGGCGGCAAGGUAUGUCGUGCGUGAAAUCUCCCGGCUUAACUGGGAGGGCCGUGCGAAACUGCCUGGCUUGAGGUCGGAAGGGGAAAGUGGAAUUCCGGGUGUAGUGGUGGAAUACGUAGAUAUCCGGAGGAACACCAGCGGCGAAGGCGGCUUUCUGGUCCGAUUCUGACGCUGAGGCGCGAAAGCGUGGGGAGCGAGUCCGG
rnacentral:rRNA from 1 species